ensembl:rRNA 5S_rRNA 5S ribosomal RNA
UCUGGCCAUACCACCCUGGAUGUAGCUGAUCUUGUCUGAUCUCGGAAGCUAAGCAAAUUUGGGCCUGCUUAGUACUUGGAUGGGAGAAAAUAUAAUGUUGUAUGAU